UACAGAGGGCUCGAGCGUUAUGCGGAAUCACUGGGCUUAAAGCGUGUGUAGGCGGUUGUCUUAGUCAGGUGUGAAAGCCUUGAGCUCAACUCAAGAAAUGCACUUGAUACUGGGCAGCUAGAGGACCGGAGAGGAUAGUGGAAUUCCCAGUGUAGUGGUGAAAUACGUAGAGAUUGGGAAGAACACCAGUGGCGAAGGCGGCUAUCUGGAAGGUUUCUGACACUAAGGCACGAAAGCGUGGGGAGCAAACAGG
rnacentral:rRNA from 1 species